rnacentral:lncRNA from 1 species
AUGGCAUCUCGUAGACAUGACAUUCUCAUUCCUAAUCUCUUCAUCAGUACCAGAAGGCACUAUAUCAUCAACAGCCGAGGGCUGUGUGGGGAAGAGGGCUUGCAAAUGCCUCCCACAGAAAUCCUGCUUUCUCACUUAAGAGCUAAAAGGCAAAAGCCAAGAAGACUGCAUUUAAAAUUGAUGAAGGACCAAGGCUUGCUAACACACAUUACAGAAUUCUCUGUAUGUCCAUCACAUGAUAAUGCACCUCAAAGGAAUGAAGACUUAAAGGCAAGGAGAAAGACUUGUCACUUUAUUUUUAUUUCCUAG